UGCCAGCUCAGUCGGUAGAGCACGAGACUCUUAAUCUCAGGGUUGUGGGUUCGAGCCCCAUGUUGGGAG